rnacentral:rRNA from 1 species
AGUGAACGCUGGCGGUAGGCCUAACACAUGCAAGUCGAACGGCAGCACAGGAGAGCUUGCUCUCUGGGUGGCGAGUGGCGGACGGGUGAGGAAUACAUCGGAAUCUACUUUUUCGUGGGGGAUAACGUAGGGAAACUUACGCUAAUACCGCAUACGACCUACGGGUGAAAGCAGGGGACCUUCGGGCCUUGCGCGAUUGAAUGAGCCGAUGUCGGAUUAGCUAGUUGGCGGGGUAAAGGCCCACCAAGGCGACGAUCCGUAGCUGGUCUGAGAGGAUGAUCAGCCACACUGGAAUUGUGACACGGUCCAGACUCCUACGGGAGGCAGCAGUGGGGAAUAUUGGACAAUGGGCGCAAGCCUGAUCCAGCCAUACCGCGUGGGUGAAGAAGGCCUUCGGGUUGUGAAGCCCUUUUGUUGGGAAAGAAAUCCAGCUGGCUAAUACCCGGUUGGGAUGACGGUACCCAAAGAAUAAGCACCGGCUAACUUCGUGCCAGCCGCCGCGGUAA